UAUGUUUUACAUAGUUGUUUUGUAUUUAAACAAAUCUCCUUGGUUUUUUGAAGGUAAGACCUUGGAUUAUAAUCGUGUGUUAUGGUAGAAAGAAGGAAAUUUAACGUGACGUAUAAAAUGGACAAAAUAUAUUUUAUUUCUUAAAGCAAGGGAUGAUUUACAAUCAAAUUUCUUUUUUUUUCAAAGACAAACUACACAGAACACUUAAACAAAACCCAACUGGUUAAUACAUACAACACAAAAAAAAUUUUGCCUAAUACAAAUUUUUCCUUCAAUGCGGAGCUAAGAAAAUAUGGUUUUCAUAUCAAUGUGAAAAUGUUCGUAUGAACUCAUGUUAUUAAUACACAAUUUUUCUCUUAACAUUUAGUCCAACCAGCCGGGGCAUACACACAAUAUAAGUAACAAUAAACAUAUUAAAGCAUUCCCUCUACCUACGCAGUAUCAUCAAGCUAUGCCGUUUUCUCAAGCCAGUUGGCCACAAUUAUCCACAAGGUUAGUAAAAAUGUACAAUUAAAGGUACGUUACACAUUUUAUUUAGUUGCUUAUAAAAAUUAUUUACAUUUAAGUUCCAGUACAGAGUUAUGAACGUACUUCUUGAAUAAAUAUGUAUUAACAACUCUAGGCAUUUUUUUUUUAAUUACAAAUAACCGAUAGAUAUAUUAAAAAUAAUGUUGAAAUUUGCUAUCAAAAUACAUAUUAAAUCGAUUGAAAUUUGAGAUGAGCAAAAAGGUGGUACAGUCCACCUCCUGACAUACAUCUUACACUUUAGUAGCAAAAAAAGUAAUUAUCAAAACCUGGUGAACGA